CAUAAUUUAAAGAAUCUUACAAAACGUGCUGAAGAACAUGAAACUUUCUUCAACAAGGUUAUUCAUUUAUUGAAUGUUCUUGGCUUUGGUGGAUUUUGUUUCCUCUUAGGGGCAAGACCUCAAGAUGUUCCUUUAGUCUAUUGUUUGUUCUAUGUUGUGUUUGUUCCUCUUCGUUGGAUAUAUUAUAGGUUCAAGAAAUGGCAUUACUAUCUCCUGGUAAAUUCAAAUAUCUCAAAUCCUGAGUUUGGAAUUUCAUAAUUUUGCAUCUAUGAAGCAUAAAUAUGGACACUAGACAUGCAUUCACACAUCGACACUGGUAAUAAUUUGUGAAAAUAAUAGUGAUUGUAUGUAAUUACAAGUGUCAUUGUUGUGGGCGGGUCGGAUAUCGACAUGUGUCAUACACCUGGACAUGUCUACCAUCUGAAAGUUCAGUGCUACAUGGACCACCGUUCCCUGCAUUCACAAAUUUGCCGCAUUUAUGCAUUAAGCGAAUCUUCGGUCGUUGGAUUGAGAGGGAAUGGUCCAAAUUUCAAGCUUGGUAUUUUUUAUUUUGAAACAAAUUAAAAAUUGCAUUGUAAUCUCGAUUGUCUGAGGUUAAUUCCACGACCGCAAAAAUGCUGAAUGCGUGAAUGCGGCAAAUUUGUGACAGCUGAGAAUCUGAUUUCGUGCUACAUAGGUAUUAGUUUCAUUGGCAUUAUGGCACAAUUUUGGUCAUUUUGUAGCAUUGUAUAGUCAUUUUGUGAGGAGGGAUAAAAGAGAAUAAUAUGUAACUGUCAAAACCAUGGAAUUUGAUUCCUUGCAAUAACUGUGUGACUUGGUUACCAAUCUCGACCGUCCAAUCUAUGAUAGAGGAUAGAAAUUAUUUAUA